rnacentral:rRNA from 1 species
GAUGAACGCUGGCGGCGUGCUUAACACAUGCAAGUCGAACGGGAAACCUUUAUUGAAGCUUCGGCAGAUUUAGCUGGUUUCUAGUGGCGGACGGGUGAGUAACGCGUGGGUAACCUGCCUUAUACAGGGGGAUAACAGUCAGAAAUGACUGCUAAUACCGCAUAAGCGCACAGGACCGCAUGGUCCGGUGUGAAAAACUCCGGUGGUAUAAGAUGGACCCGCGUUGGAUUAGCUAGUUGGUGGGGUAACGGCUCACCAAGGCGACGAUCCAUAGCCGGCCUGAGAGGGUGAACGGCCACAUUGGGACUGAGACACGGCCCAGACUCCUACGGGAGGCAGCAGUGGGGAAUAUUGCACAAUGGGGGAAACCCUGAUGCAGCGACGCCGCGUGAAGGAAGAAGUAUCUCGGUAUGUAAACUUCUAUCAGCAGGGAAGAUAGUGACGGUACCUGACUAAGAAGCCCCGGCUAACUACGUGCCAGCAGCCGCAGUAA